rnacentral:rRNA from 1 species
GAUAUGGCUCAGGAUGAACGCUAGCGACAGGCUUAACACAUGCAAGUCGAGGGGCAGCGGGGUGUAGCAAUACACCGCCGGCGACCGGCGCACGGGUGAGUAACGCGUAUGCAACUUGCCUAUCAGAGGGGGAUAACCCGGCGAAAGUCGGACUAAUACCGCAUGAAGCAGGGAUCCCGCAUGGGAAUAUUUGCUAAAGAUUCAUCGCUGAUAGAUAGGCAUGCGUUCCA